AUUGAACGCUGGCGGCAUGCCUUACACAUGCUAGUCGAACGGCAGCACGGGGCAACCCGGUGGCGAGUGGCGAACGGGUGAGUAAUGCAUCGGAACGUACCUUUCAGUGGGGGAUAACGUAGCGAAAGUUACGCUAAUACCGCAUAUUCUGUGAGCGGGAAAGCAGGGGAUCGCAAGACCUUGCGCUGAUUGAGCGGCCGAUGUCAGAUUAGCUAGUUGGUGAGGUAAAGGCUCACCAAGGCGACGAUCUUUAGCGGGUCUGAGAGGAUGAGCCGCCACACUGGAACUGAGACACGGUCCAGACUCCUACGGGAGGCAGCAGUGGGGAAUUUUGGACAAUGGGGUCAACCCUGAUCCAGCCGUGACGCGUGAGUGAAGAAGGCCUUCGGGUUGUAAAGCUCUUUCGGCCGGGAAGAAAUCGCACGGGCUAAUACCCUGUGUGGAUGACGGUACCGGAAUAAGAAGCACCGGCUAACUACGUGCCAGCCGCCGCAGUAAAAC
rnacentral:rRNA from 1 species